GCGGCGAUAGCUCAGUGGGUAAAGUGGGUAAAGCGCCAGGUGAGAAGAUGGCGAUUACUCCGAGAUCUGCGCGGGUUCGAAUCCCGCCUGUGGCA